rnacentral:rRNA from 1 species
CCUACGGGCUGCAGCAGUGGGGAAUAUUGGACAAUGGGCGCAAGCCUGAUCCAGCCAUGCCGCGUGAGUGAAGAAGGCCUUAGGGUUGUAAAGCUCUUUCACCGGUGAAGAUAAUGACGGUAACCGGAGAAGAAGCCCCGGCUAACUUCGUGCCAGCAGCCGCGGUAAGACGAAGGGGGCUAGCGUUGUUCGGAAUUACUGGGCGUAAAGCGCGCGUAGGCGGAUAGAUAAGUCAGAGGUGAAAUCCCGGGGCUCAACCCCGGAAUUGCCUUUGAUACUGUUUAUCUUGAGUGCAGAAGAGGUAAGUGGAAUUCCGAGUGUAGAGGUGAAAUUCGUAGAUAUUCGGAGGAACACCAGUGGCGAAGGCGGCUUACUGGUCUGCAACUGACGCUGAGGCGCGAAAGCGUGGGGAGCAAACAGGAUU